CCUACGGGAGGCAGCAGUGAGGAAUAUUGGUCAAUGGACGCAAGUCUGAACCAGCCAUGCCGCGUGCAGGAAGACGGCUCUAUGAGUUGUAAACUGCUUUUGUACGAGGGUAAACGCAGAUACGCGUAUCUGUCUGAAAGUAUCGUACGAAUACGGAUCGGCUAACUCCGUGCCAGCCGCCGCGGUAAUACGGAGGAUUCAAGCGUUAUCCGGAUUUAUUGGGUUUAAAGGGUGCGUAGGCGGUCGGAUAAGUUAGAGGUGAAAUCCCGAGGCUCAACUUCGGAAUUGCCUCUGAUACUGUUCGGCUAGAGAGUAGUUGCGGUAGGCGGAAUGUAUGGUGUAGCGGUGAAAUGCUUAGAGAGCAUACAGAACACCGAUUGCGAAGGCAGCUUACCAAGCUACUUCUGACGUUGAGGCACGAAAGCGUGGGGAGCAAACAGGAUUAGAGACCCUAGUAGUC
rnacentral:rRNA from 1 species